rnacentral:rRNA from 1 species
GGGGGGGGGGGGGGGGGGGGGGGGGGGGGGGGGGGGGGGGGGGGGGGGGGGGGGGGGGGUGGUGGGGAGGGGCGGGGGGGUGAGGAAUAGGUGGGGACGUGCGCAGUCGGGGGGGAGAACGUAGCGAAAGUUACGCUAGUGCAGCAGACGAGCUGAGGAUGAGAGCGGGGGACGUUCGGGCCUCGCGCGAUCGGAGCGUCCGAUGUCAGAUUAGGUAGUUGGUGGGGUAAAGGCCUACCAAGACGACGAUCUGUAGCUGGUCUGAGAGUACGACCAGCCACACUGGGACUGAGACACGGCCCAGACUCCUACGGGAGGCAGCCGUGGGGAAUUUUGGCCAAUGGGCGCAAGCCUGAUCCAGCCAUUCCGCGUGCAGGACGAAGGCCUUCGGGUUGUAAACUUCUUUUUUAUGGAACGAAAAGGCUCUGGCUAAUACCUGGGGCUCAUGACGGUACCGUAAGAAUAAGCACCGGCUAACUACGUG